UGGUGGUGUUCCUGGACAGGCUGCGGCCUGCGGGGCGCCGUGCUGGGCGGUGGCCUCGCCGAGGGAGGGCUUGUGGCCGCAGGGUCAUGGUGGCCACGUUCGAUCGAUUGCCGCUACUGAAGGGUAUGGCGUGGCCGGACACUGGCGGUGCGAUGGCCUGCAGCUGCAGCAGCAGUCCGGUACCAGGUGUUCCCACCGCACAAAGGAAACACGCGAAUCGACCAGCCCCACCGUUACCCUGGUCUCGCCGUGUCCGUGUAUUGGCUGUAGUUUCUGGCGGCGGAUGCGUCGGCGGCGUCCCUCUAUGGCGAGUCUCUCGGCGCAGCCCUGCACGCAGGUUUCCGCGGGUUCGUACGCCUCCUCUCGCUGACUCUAUCAUUCUGCGCAAGCGACCGCAGAAGUAGGGGAACGAGGCCUUGCUUGACUCCGUCCUCAAGCCGAGCAGCGGACAAAUCAGGGGAUCUCACCGAGGCCUGGCACGCACCCGGUGUGGAUGCCUGGGUCACCUAGGCGGCGAGCGGCAGAGGGUAGACAGAGAACUGGAGAAGGGGAUCCCAAUUAGGCCUGUCGCACCGGGCAGGUCCUCCAGCGUCCCAGCAGCCGCCUCCUCCCCCAGAUCAAACUGAAUAACGUGAACUGUUGGAUGCCGAGGCCUGGAUCAUUUUUGCUGCAUCACCGGCACAACAUCCGUGCUCUGCUGGAUUAUAGAUUUUAGCUAUCUAUUUAAGAUUAAACUGAGCUAAGUCAAUCACCUUCCUAAGUUAUUCUGUACUUCCCUCUUCCACGUACCAAUUUCUAUACAUUAUGUAUUUCAGUUCUACAGCUGAUAAUUAUAUACACACGUGUAUAUCAAGUCUGCAGCAAAUAAUUUUUUUCACUUCGAUCGUUUCAAUUCAUAUAUGAGUUUUUUUUGGAUUAACAACAGAUUGACACGUAAGUGAUUUUGUGGUUGAUUAUUUUUCUUGUGUGCACUUCGGGUGUCCUCUUGCACUUUCCCUUGUUGUUUUCUUUGACCUGUGUUGUGCUUCCUUUUGAACUGGGUGGAUCUAGCACUUUUUUAGGGAACCGCUUUGACCACCCCUCGAUUUUCUCCCCGCACUCCCUCUCUCCCCAUUAUCUCCACCGCCUCGAACUCCAUCCAUGCCCCAGGCCUGCUGCCUUCCUCCCCCUGCCUGGCCAUGUCCGGCGCCGCCGUCUCCUCCUUUUCCGUUUCCGCACCACCGCAAUGCUCGGCCGCGCCCCUACGUGCUAGAGGCUGGGGCUACGUGCUAGAGGCUAGGGUUCAGCAUGGUGGGCCGACCGCGUCCGCCACGACGGACGAUGUCCGGCAGCCGUGCAGGCCGAUUCCGGGCGCGCAGCUGUGCUCCGGAUCCAAGAACCGGGCCCGAAGCCGCCGGUGGUGAUUGUGCACUAGUGGCCGAGCACGCGAAAUGCCCACGUCGUGGAGGUCCAUCGCGGAUUUCGCGCGGCGCGGGCGCCGUGGCGCGCUGGUUCUAGGCGCUUCUGGGCGCGUCACAGACGUCGUGGUCUGCAAGGAGCCCUCGCUGCUUGAGCUCCGGGGCACGGCCAUGAUCCUAGGAUUGCAGGGCGCUUCUUCCCUCCCUCUGCCUCACCAGCGGCGUGGUGGUGUUCCUGGACAGGCUGCGGCCUGCGGGGCGCCGUGCUGGGCGGUGGCCUCGCCGAGGGAGGGCUUGUGGCUGCAGGGUCAUGGUGGCCACGUUCGAUCGGUUGCCGCUACUGAAGGGUAUGGCGUGGCCGGACACUGGCGGUGCGAUGGCCUGCAGCUGCAGCAGCAGUCCGGUACCAGGUGUUCCCACCGCACAAAGGAAACACGCGAAUCGACCAGCCCCACCGUUACCCUGGUCUCGCCGUGUCCGUGUAUUGGCUGUAGUUUUUGGCGGCGGAUGCGUCGGCGGCGUCCCUCUAUGGCGAGUCUCUCGGCGCAGCCCUGCACGCAGGUUUCCGCGGGUUCGUACGCCUCCUCUCGCUGACUCUGUCAUUCUGCGCAAGCGACCGCAGAAGUAGGGGAACGAGGCCUUGCUUGACUCCGUCCUCAAGCCGAGCAGCGGACAAAUCAGGGGAUCUCACCGAGGCCUGGCACGCACCCGGUGUGGAUGCCUGGGUCACCUAGGCGGCGAGCGGCAGAGGGUAGACGGAGAACUGGAGAAGGGGAUCCCAAUUAGGCCUGUCGCACCGGGCAGGUCCUCCAGCGUCCCAGCAGCCGCCUCCUCCCCCAGGUUCAAUUUCCCCUCCCCUUCACUUUUUCCCUGUUUUCCCCGCAAAAAGAUCAAUCACUCUCGCAUAGAGCAGUGGCAGCAUGACAAACCAAAUCAGACAUGCACGAUUUAGUGUGGUCAACAUUAGCUAGCUUCUAACUGAUAGUUUUUUGUUUUCUUCCAAUAUGAUUAUUGACAAAAUCCCAACCUUUCUGAAGUGCUUUCACUUAGUUGGCCAGAUCAAACUGAAUAACGUGAACUGUUGGAUGCCGAGGCCUGGAUCAUUUUUGCUGCAUCACCGGCACAACAUCCGUGCUCUGCUGGAUUAUAGAUUUUAGCUAUCUAUUUAAGAUUAAACUGAGCUAAGUCAAUCACCUUCCUAAGUUAUUCUGUACUUCCCUCUUCCACGUACCAAUUUCUAUACAUUAUGUAUUUCAGUUCUACAGCUGAUAAUUAUAUACACACGUGUAUAUCAAGUCUGCAGCAAAUAAUUUUUUUCACUUCGAUCGUUUCAAUUCAUAUAUGAGAUCCUAUGAAAGAACAUGAACUGACAUAGUUGUCAUUUUCUUACACUUCUAUUGCAACAGGUCGCUAUUAAGUUGGCAUCAACUUAUAGCUUGCAACAUGUUCCAGUGGCCAGGGAAUGGCUGUAUAUGAUGUUUUUGACUUUGAUCCAUAGCUUUCAUGUAAAGCAAACGAAGAACAUGCCAUGACACUUGAUUUUCAGUAAGAAAUAAGAACUGAGCUGAGUACUGACACCAAUAUUUCCUUGCUUGCUUAUGAUGGAUUUGCUAUGCUCUGCUAUAGUGCCAUUGUUUUGAUUCUUGGAUUCUUGAUGUGAGCCUAGACCAAAUGUUCCUCCACCUUCGGUUGAAUCAUUUAUUCUUACAAAAGAAGGUAAUCAUAGAAGCUCUUUAAUAUUAAUGGAAGCUUGAUGAAAAAUUAUGUUAUGUAUUUUAAACUCUUGAAAUGUCGAUGCCAUUUUUAGGUGCUACUGAAGUUGAUAUGGCUUAACUCAAGCACCACAAAAUCAUAAUAACAUUGUCUUGCAUGGUCAAGAACUGAUGACCUUGAGGACCAACAACAUCAGUCGUGGUAAUCAUUCUAAAGUGACUGUUCAUAAGCCUAUGAUGUGGUCACCAGCCCCCAACAUUUAAUAAAACAAUGCGCUAAUGUCUAACUAGAGAUCCUCUAUGGAUGAUUGGAUGCAGCCAGGAAUACCUGAAACUGAGUUUAAGGAUGUCAAUUCAGUUAAUCAUUAAUCUUUUGGUGAUUGCAUGGGCUAUUUCAUGUACACCUUUGAUGUGGCCGCUAACUGUCUUAGUUCAUUCAAAACCCAGUUCUAGGUUGAUGCGAACAAAGAAUUAUUCAAGUACUUGAGUUAUCGAGAACGGUUGAUUCGUGAACUGGUAGAUCUUAUUUUAUAGUAAGUAGUGUCCAAAACUUUCUGGGAGGUUAUGUAGUUGAUGCUUUGUCAUGUAUGUCUAAAUACAUGGCUCCUGAGUUGAGGAAUAUAUUGAUUCUUUUCUGCAGUUUCAAUAUUGUUUUUCUGCAUCACAAAAAGCUCCUUUUAUCUUAGUGGAAACUUCAUGAAAAAUACAUAGCUAGCCUGGCUCCCGGCGCAGCGGCCGGUUGGUCGUCUCUGCGUGCCCGGCUUGCUGGCCCUGCGGGCUACCCUGACCGACGCCCCGCUAGCGCGGGUGGAGAGGCUAGGCAUUUUUUUACCCGAGUCGGCGCAUCGGCAGUUGCAUCGAGGACCCUUCAUGUCAGUUCGUGGGGUACCCACACUACGUCGCGUGCCAUCUCCGGCAUGCUGUUUUGUGCCAUGGGCUUGGCCAGGAGGCAUCUGGUGCAGACUAGGCUGAGCAAGUAUCAGUUUUAUGGAAUUCUUUUUCCAAGGUAUGCCAAUUUUGUUUCCAUUAAGAACCAUCGGUUGCUCCUACUAUGCUUGAGACACCUUAUGAUAUUUAUGUGAGCUACUGUAGUGUCAACAUAUUUUCAAAUGACUUGCCAAUUUGAUCAGCUCUUCAGACUCGGGGUGCUUUAUUGCAUUCAAAGGAUGUUUGAGGAAAAGUUAUGUCCGCAUGGAUGUAUAUAAUAGCUCUAGGCGUCAGUGGCCAAAUGCAGCAACAAAGCCAAGGUUGUAACUGGUCCUACACAUAAAUGCUUGGAGAUAUCAGAUAUCUCAAGAUCAACCAAAAAAUAGGAACUUACUUCCCCAUAGUAAAUUAGUCGACGCCGGUGAACUGCUCACAUCUACCUGUGUUUUUCUUUCAGACUUCUUACUAAUCAGUCAGUACUAAUAUGGCACGAAUAUUUUAUAUUGGUAGGCUGCUUCUAUUUUACCGCAUGGCAUAUUCGAAAACAGUUAAAUAAGUGAUUUAAGAUUCAGUAUGUGUUCUUCUCUUCAGUUAGUUCUGAAAGAAGGGACAGAUAGAUGAUUUUUCUUCAGGUUAUGCAUUUUUUUUACUUGCUAAAUAGUUCCUGAAUAACAGGAACCAUCCUCAGUUCAAACAUGAAUACAAAAAUAAGCUAUUUACCUAAUUUUUAUUCCACCCCAUUGCUCGCUACAGGUACUACCAUACCAUUUUUUUUUUAAUCCGCAGCCAUAUAUUUCAGAUUCUUUCAUUUAGUUUAGAAAAUAUAAUGUAGUAAGGGAUUUAGAAUAUUGAGCACGUAGUACCAAGUUGCGAAUAUAAAUUGAUGGAUGGCAUUGAUCCUUGGUUGGAUGAGAUGACUGAGGGCCUGCAUGUAGCUUUGAGAAUGGACGCUCAGGUGUGUUAUUGCUCACAAGCGAGAAGUUAACAAGUAGGAAUAGCUAAAUCACUAUAACAUUUGUGUUUUAGAUAUCUACGUAUGACCUACCGUUUGGAAGAUUUUACGUUGAUAGUUAAAUUGUAUUGUCUUCAUCACUACUUAAAUCAUACAUGGUAAAAAAUAAUCUCGAAUAUAUUUGGCUAAUUGGAUCUUCACAACGGCGGGAAGAAGCACGAACAUCUUUGCAAUGGCUAGCUAGAAAAGGCAUGGAUGUCGAGUGGGUAGAAUGGAUUUACAGGGCUGUUGCCGAUUUCCUGAGAUUUUGGAAGUAAAUCAUUCCAAGAUGAACACUAAGAAUAUGAUGGAAGACAAGAAUUUGCACAUAAUUUUCGCAACCCUGUGGCUCUGAUUCUUUGCCCUUCUCGGAGCCGCCGCGGCUCUGGAGUUCAGACUCUCAAAAUCACGGUCCACUUUACCGCAUCGUAUCUGAUCAAGUAGUUUCUCAGGUUAUUUUCAUGCCAAAGUGCUAGACGUUGACGGCCUACAGUCUGCCACACAUAACACACAAGAAGAUAAAGAGUUGUGCCUUCCCGACACCGUUUAGUUCUUCCUUUGAAGGUACGACAUCCGGGUCAAUACAGUGAACUGUGUCCAUAAAUCCUUCGGCUCUGAUCUGGCACUACAGUGCAUAAAUAUUCCACAGACCAUGGCACCAAAGUAGCGGAGAAAAGCUGCACUGCUCACCGUUAUGCACGCCGGCCGUGUAUCAAAGCCGAUGAAAGAUCUGCAGCAUUUAUGCACCUAGCAAAGAAAGCCCCAGAUAUGGGGAGACCAGCGUCCCUCCUGGCUUCUCCCCUUCGGAUCGUCUUGCCGAUCAAAAAGGGGAAAGGCCCAUGGAAGACAGGGUUGGCAACACACCCCAACGGGCACAACUAGGAGGCAAGGUAGGCCUCCAGUGGUCCGAUUUCUGCCAGAUAUCCAGCUACGCCGCCGCUUCAAGAGAGGUAUCACCUAGCAUCCUCACGACCUGGUAGAGAUACCAUCAGCAUUUGAGCAGCACAUCCUUGACAGAAUGGAGGGGCACGAUCUGCAUCGACCAUGAGUGGUCUAAUUUUGCUGAACAUCAUAGCUACAAUGACAGUUUGUCGGCAACAAUGGUGGGAAAAAGAGAUCAGCCACAUUUUAUAAGCUGCUUCAUGGAAUCAGUAGUGUUAGUAUAUUAGCCAUCACCGAGCUAUUCGUUUUUGUUCUGCUUUUGCUCACUGGGUCACACUAUUUUGCUGAAUCACCUAUUUGCCAGCAUGAUGUUCUUAAUUGUUUUAAUUAUAUAUCAUUGACUGUAGUGACACUACUAAGACCGUUAAGUAUGUUGAUCAGGCUGUCUCGGCCUACUAUGUUCAUUA